rnacentral:rRNA from 1 species
AGUGGGUCGGCUACACAUGCAGUCGACGGUAGCACAGAGAGCUUGCUCUCGGGUGACGAGUGGCGGACGGGAGAGUAAUGUCUGGGAAACUGCCUGAUGGAGGGGGAUAACUACUGGAAACGGUAGCUAAUACCGCAUAACGUCGCAAGACCAAAGAGGGGGACCUUCGGGCCUCUUGCCAUCAGAUGUGCCCAGAUGGGAUUAGCUAGUAGGUGGGGUAACGGCUCACCUAGGCGACGAUCCCUAGCUGGUCUGAGAGGAUGACCAGCCACACUGGAACUGAGACACGGUCCAGACUCCUACGGGAGGCAGCCGUGGGGAAUAUUGCACAUUGGGCGCAAGCCUGAUGCAGCCAUGCCGCGUGUAUGAAGAAGGCCUUCGGGUUGUAAAGUACUUUCAGCGGGGAGGAAGGGGAUAAGGUUAAUAACCUUAUUCAUUGACGUUACCCGCAGGAGAAGCACCGGCUAACUCCGUGCCAGCAGCCGCGGUAAUACGGAGGGUGCAAGCGUUAAUCGGAAUUACUGGGCGUAAAGCGCACGCAGGCGGUCUGUCAAGUCGGAUGUGAAAUCCCCGGGCUCAACCUGGGAACUGCAUUCGAAACUGGCAGGCUGGAGUCUUGUAGAGGGGGGUAAAUUCCAGGUGUAGCGGUGAAAUGCGUAGAGAUCUGGAGGAAUACCGGUGGCGAACGCGGCCCCUGGACAAACACUGACUCUCGGGUGCGAGAGCGUGGGGAGCAAACGGGAUUAAUCCCCUGGUAGUCCACCCUGAAAUUAUGUCACUUGAGGGUUGUUCCCUUGAGGGAGUGGCUUCCCGGACUAACGCUUUAAGUCGACCGCCUGGGGGAGUACGGCCCGCAGGUUAAAACUCAAAUGAAUUUGACGGGGGCCCGCACAAGCGGUGGGAGCUUGUGGUUUAAUUCGAUUGCAACGCGAAAGAACCCUUACCCUACUUUUGACAUCCGGAGAAACUUAACAAAAAAUGCCUUUUGGGGGCCCUUUCCGGAAGCUUUAAAAAGAGCCUGCAAGGAUGAUCUCAGCCUCCGUCUUCGUGCAAAUGUUUGAGGUUAAAGUUACCCGCCAACGGAGCGCCACCCAUUUAUCCCUUGUUGGCCAGCGGACGCAACCCG